AUUGAACGCUGGCGGCAGGCUUAACACAUGCAAGUCGAGCGGAGAUGAGGUGCUUGCACCUUAUCUUAGCGGCGGACGGGUGAGUAAUGCUUAGGAAUCUGCCUAUUAGUGGGGGACAACAUUCCGAAAGGAAUGCUAAUACCGCAUACUUCCUACGGGAGAAGGCAGGGGAUCUUCGGACCUUGCGCUAAUAGAUGAGCCCAAGUCGGAUUAGGUAGGUGGUGGGGUAAAGGCCUACCAAGGCGACGAUCUGUAGCGGGUGUGAGAGGAUGAUCCGCCACACUGGGACUGAGACACGGCCCAGACUCCUACGGGAGGCAGCAGUGGGGAAUAUUGGACAAUGGGGGAAACCCUGAUCCAGCCAUGCCGCGUGUGUGAAGAAGGCCUUAUGGUUGUAAAGCACUUUAAGCGAGGAGGAGGCUACUGAGACUAAUACUCUUGGAUAGUGGACGUUACUCGCAGAAUAAGCACCGGCUAACUCUGUGCCAGCAGCCGCGGUAA
rnacentral:rRNA from 1 species